rnacentral:lncRNA from 1 species
GCAAUCCCUUGUAGCAGAUUCCCCCAUUAAGAGACGGCACUCCAAAUUGAGGGUGAAGUAGAGCUGACUGUACUGGCACAUACAGCCUCUUUUAUUCCCAAUCCACAAACCUAGUACUGCCCACGGGGUUUUGAAAUACAACCAAUCAAUCCGUACAAUACACACAGACACUCCCAUACAAAAUCCUCCCCUAUGCCUGUGAUAUGAUCACUG